rnacentral:rRNA from 1 species
UACGUAGGGGGCAAGCGUUGUCCGGAUUUAUUGGGCGUAAAGAGCGUGUAGGCGGUUAGGUAGGUCCGUUGUGAAAACUCGAGGCUCAACCUCGAGACGCCGAUGGAAACCAUCUGACUAGAGUCCGGAAGAGGAGAGUGGAAUUCCUGGUGUAGCGGUGAAAUGCGCAGAUAUCAGGAGGAACACCGGUGGCGAAGGCGGCUUGCUGGGCCUUACCUGACGCUGAGGAGCGAAAGCGUGGGGAGCGAACAGG